rnacentral:rRNA from 1 species
UUGAACGCUGGCGGCAGGCCUCACACAUGCAAGUCGAACGGUAACAGGAAGCAGCUUGCUGCUUCGCUGACGAGUGGCGGACGGGUGAGUAAUGUCUGGGAAACUGCCUGAUGGAGGGGGAUAACUACUGGAAACGGUAGCUAAUACCGCAUAACGUCGCAAGACCAAAGAGGGGGACCUUAGGGCCUCUUGCCAUCGGAUGUGCCCAAAUGGGAUUAGCUAGUAGGUGGGGUAACGGCUCACCUAGGCGACGAUCCCUAGCUGGUCUGAGAGGAUGACCAGCCACACUGGAACUGAGACACGGUCCAGACUCCUACGGGAGGCAGCAGUGGGGAAUAUUGCACAAUGGGCGCAAGCCUGAUGCAGCCAUGCCGCGUGUAUGAAGAAGGCCUUCGGGUUGUAAAGUACUUUCAGCGGGGAGGAAGGGAGUAAAGUUAAUACCUUUGCUCAUUGACGUUACCCGCAGAAGAAGCACCGGCUAACUCCGUG